rnacentral:lncRNA from 1 species
AUUUCAAAAUUUGUCAUUUUUAAAUAUUAUUAUUAGUAAAUAAAAUCUUAAAUCUAUAUUCCUUACUUUUGUAAAUCAGCUCAAAGCUCUUUGUGAUUCAAUCCCACCUUACCCGAAACGAAUUUCAUUCCAUCCUAUAAAGCAUCCAACUUUUGGAGUACUGAUUCGAAGUACCACUGUACCCGGACUUCAUAAAUUGUGUCGCGCUGACUUUAAUACUUUGCAACGUCGUCGAUCAUUUCGUUGGGAUGCGAGUGUGAGUGCGAGCUGAGGAAAAAAGGAGAAACAGGCAUGUUGAACAAGCGAUGUCGCCCGUCUUGUAAAACCUGCAACACAUGCAACAUGCAACUUGCAACUUGCAUCAGGAACGGCAGCAAGGCACCCAUACAGUGGGGGAUACUGAGAGCAUGAGGGGUUUCCUUCCACACCGAAGCGCGCACAAAUUUCCGCGGCUACAAUUUUAAUU